UACGUAGGGGGCAAGCGUUGUCCGGAAUUAUUGGGCGUAAAGAGCGUGUAGGCGGCCAGAUAAGUCCGCUGUGAAAUCUCGAGGCUCAACUUCGAGCUGUCGGUGGAAACUAUCUGGCUAGAGUCCGGAAGAGGAGAAUGGAAUUCCUGGUGUAGCGGUGAAAUGCGCAGAUAUCAGGAAGAACACCCGUGGCGAAGGCGGCUCUCUGGGACGGUACUGACGCUGAGACGCGAAAGCGUGGGGAGCGAGCAGG
rnacentral:rRNA from 1 species